GCAAUCACAUAAUGCACAGCAGACUACGAUGCAGGUUGAUUAUUUUCUGAAAUACAGUGACUUUAUUCUUGUAAUAGCCUAUUAUAACUUUAUUUUGCUCAAAAUAUCACAACUCCUCCAAAUCUCAGAGAGCACAGAUGGGAUGAGUUAUAUUUCAAAUGUGCAUUAAGUUUUGAACAUGAGCAGAAAUCUUGCUCAAACACAUCUGAAAUAUUACAGUCCAAGGGUUUAUUAAUUCAUUAAAAUAAAUGAAUAUUCAGAUAAACCGUUCCAUAAUGUUUCUAUAUUUGGAUUGUAAUCUAGGUUUCCCUUUACAUAAAGAUAUUUCCAGCAUACAUUGAUUCAGAAAAAGGUA